AUUUAUUAUUUGCAAGGGGAUUUAUAUCGGCACAUCCAGGUGGUAGAACCACUUCUCUUUCAAAGAUGGACUGGGGAAAGACUAAGUUCGGAGCAGCCCAGAGCUGUGGAUCUAGCCUUUCUUCGUCUAGUCCCCAGACCCACUCAGGUCCAGGCAACCCAGCAGAGCCAGCGGAGCGCCGGCGCCCAGCUCAGGCCCGGCCACCAGAGCAUAUGAAAAGGAGCAUUUCAGAAGAACAUCAGAAGAAAGCAAAGUAGAGGGAAAGCAGGCUAGUAAAGUAAGGAAGAUGGAGAGGAGGAAGAGGAAGGGUGGGACCCUCAAUCCCAAGUUCACAGGAAAUGGUCCCAAAUUUCCUAAGGAGCAGCCAAGUCCUCUUGUCCUUUCAGAAAGGAACUUGCUGAAAUUUGAUAAAACUGGAAAGGAAAAUCCAGUGGGGAAGAAAAUCCCCCCACAAGACUAGCAAUGAUGUUAAACAGCUCAGACUGUUGAGGAAAUCUGGACAUAUGCCUGUGAUGACCCAUCUAGAUAGACCAAGAGGUUGCUGAGGCAGAAGGAAAACUCACUCCUUUGGAAGAGCGUGGCCUUUUCCUAUAUUGCUUCCUGCUGCUGCCACUGAGCUUCUUGAACCUUGGCCCCUGGACACCAUCAGCAGGAACGCCAGAUGGAUGGGCUGCCUGAUCCCUGAAGGAAGAGGAGCAUCAAUGGCAGUCUCUAACUAGAUUUGUCCUCUUUGUUUCAAGUAGUGGCUGCCAUCAGGGUCAGAUUAAAGACAGACCAGCUGGACAACUGUUUGGAGGACUAAGCUAUAAGGGCACUAAAAUGUCCAUAGUGUGCUAACACAUCCAUGAAAAUGUAAGGAGAGGAAAAUAAUACCAGCAUUCUUUUAGGGAGAAUUCUGUGGAGGGCUGGAAGAGAUGUUUGAUAAACUCUUUAGGGGUGGAAAACAGGAAUAAUCAUAAAGCAAGAAGUAAUCUAUUUCUUCUUCAGUUCUAAGAUGUUAGCCCUUGGUGCAUCCAUUCCCUUGGGGGUAAGGCUUGUUAAUUAACAGAGCAUGGGGAUGUUUUACUUGCAGGGCUGUUUUUCCUACUAGGAUAUAUAUAAAGUGGAUGCCCCAGUUGGAUUGCUUGUGACCAUGGAGGGUAGGCAGACAACCCCAGUUGUCCUCCUGCUGGGGUCUUCCCUACACAGAUUUCAGCCUGCCCUCUAGUAAAGAUCUAGCAAGUAGCUGUUUGAAGGAGAUACCAGUUAAUUAGCCAAUAUGUUGUUGCUGUGUACUCUAGGGCUUGAAAAUGAAGAUAUAGUUAUAGACAGUCUAUCUUCCAGUUCUAAGAUGUUAGCCCUUACUGCAUUUUCAUUCACUUGAGGGUGAGGCUUGUUAACUAAUGCAGCAGAUCAAGUCAAAUGGACUUGAACUCUGCUUACUGGUUGGGUUGAUUAGAUCAAUGGAGACACCAGGUAGAGUUGGGUAUCUUUACAAAUAUUUGGCUGAAGGGUGAUAUUGCCAAUUAUUUGUAGAUGAGGACAUCAAGGAAUAUUUUUGGAAUCAUGAAAUUUGGAACUGGUGUUCACAUCCAUAAUUCAACAAAUAAUUAAAUACCUACUAGAUACUGUGGAUACUUAGGAGCAAGACAGAUCAUGGCUCCUACCUUCAUGGAGCUCACCUAGCUUUCUCUCAGAUGUGAAGAGCAGUGGCCCCAGCAAACAAGUGACCACAUAAAUAUUCUGGAGCCCAAGAUUCCAAUAAUUGAGUAAUUCUGUCCAGGUAGGGAGAAUCUAGGUGACUACUUCCUAAGCUUAAAAUAAAAACCAGCACUCAGUAAAUGGACAUCUUUCAUGUAUACUGUACGUCAGAUAUUCACUGGCUGGCAACCUCUAAAAAGGAAAGGAAAAACACUAACCAGACUAAAUGAUAUUGCCAUGAAUUCUUAUCUCAUUGUGAAUCCUGUAUUAGUGAUUUCUCCUCAACUUUGUUUCUUCCAUCAUUAGCAACUCUGAUAUGUAUCUCUAAGUGUAGAAAAUACGUCAGGGAAAAAUCAAUCUGUGGAACUUCAUUUUCAGAAUUGCUGACACAAAUUGCUUGGUUUGAGAGUUUUAUACUGGAAAAUAGUUUUAGGAACUUCAGUGUCUGGCUUAAAAGGUAGAAUUAAUUACUCUUGGCUCUCAAUUUUGCUUCCCAUUUGAGGUCAAGGAAUAUAUUGACACCUCCAGUUAAUGCCUACACCUCUCUGUGACCAGGAGCUUUAAUCUCUAUUGCUUUCAGUUUUUGCAGAGUUACAUCUACUAUGUGGCCUGAUCAGUGCUUCAUCUCUUCUCCUGGUUCUUGCUUUCCCUCUUGCAAAUAUACUAAAAACAGUGUAAGGUUCACAAACUCUCAGCUGAUAGGACUUAGGAGAGAAACAAAGGGCUUGGUAACUAACAUAAAUGGAAAAUCGACCCUGGAAUAAUUGACAGCAUAUUUAAAUAUUAAAACAGUCAAGUAUUACUCCCAUUAAGCAGAAGCAGUAUCAGUAAAUCUAUAUGACUCUAAACAUUCUAAUGAAAAGGAAAACUUUUUUUUCUUAUGCGCUGGAGAAGCUGUGGCAGAAAAAAGGAACAUUCUGUCAACCAUCUCAUAUUUCCAAAUACCUGGAUAUUAGCCAUUGUGAGGACAAAAAUUACAGAUAAUGGACUGGUCUUCCCACCUCUCAUUUUCAUAGACUGAAAUUUUAUAGCUCCAGCCACUGACUCUAAGGCAAUGUACAUUUUCUAUGUCUCUCUUGAGAGAAAACAAAAAUCUUAUUUUUCCAAGCAAUUAAAACUUUUCUGCUUCAGCUAGGAUGAAAGAAUUAGGAGUUCUGUCUCCUUCUAUAUAAUUGCAUAUUUCAUCUUUCUUGUUUUAAAGUUUGACAGAAAACUGAUAAACUGAGACAUCUCUGAAUCAGUAUUGAAUACUCUUUUGGUGGCUCCAUUGAUAAUUUGACUAUUUUGCAGGAUUUCUUACUCUGUAAUGGAAAGGUUUAUUAAAUAUAAGUGGUGCAAAGCUUUCUGAAUAGUAAUGAACUUAUUUGCCAAAAUUUAAGUGUUCCUUCUUAUCACUGAAUGCCUGUCUCACUUAACAGGAUCCAAACUGAAUAAUGAAGAAAAUUAGACUACUGUACUCUUGAGAGAAAUUGUAAUAGAAUAGUGAGAAGGAUAGGGGUCAUAUUUUAGAAAAAAGAGUAGAUUAUUUGGAUGUUAUAAGAAAGGAUUAACUCAGAGAAACCCAACUCUUUUCAAAGAAAUAUACUCAUAGUAAUUCAAUGAGCAGG